rnacentral:rRNA from 1 species
AAGGUAAGUUGUUGAUCAUCGUACUUUAUGUUGAUGAUCUCAUAUUGACUGGUGAUAAUCAGUUGAUCGUGUCUUGCAAGGAGGACCUUGCAAGAGAAUUGAGAUGAAAGGCAUGGGUCUCAUGCAUUACUUGGCAUGGAAGUGUGGCAGAAGGAUGUGGAGUUGUUUGUGUCUCAGGGCAAGCAUGUCAACGAGAUACUCAGGAGAUUCCACAUGGAGAAGUGCAAGCCCAUGUAGACUCCUCUAGCAGGUAACUGGAGGAAGGAGGUUGCUACUUCAAGAGAAGUGGUAGAGGCUACUAUGUACAGGCAACUUGUGGGUUCACUGAUGUACUAAAUGAACAUAUGACCAAAUUUGUGCUAUGUGGUGAACCAGAUAAGUCAAACGAUGGUUCAACCUACCAAGAUGUUUUGGAAGGCAGCAAACAAUGUAUUGAGAUACCUCAGAGGCACAUCUCAGUAUGGAUUAUGGUACGUACGGACAAAGGGAGUGAAGCUAUAGGGAUUCACUAAUGCAGAUUGGGCAGGCAGUCCAUUAGAUCAGAAGAGCACAUCAAGAGGGAUUUUCAACCUUGGGUCAGUGGCAGUUUCUUGGUACAGCAGGAAACAGAGGUCGGUUGCACUCAGCUUGGCAGAGAAAAAAUACAUGGCUGCAAGUCAGGCAGCAUGUGAGGCCAUCUGCAUGCAGAAAAUCCUAGUUGGUUUGUUUGAUCAAAGGGGGGAUCCAACUGUGAUCUAUUGUGAUAAUCAAAGUUGUAUCAAACUCUCUGAGAAUCCAAUAUUUCAUGAUAGGUCCAAGCACAUCGACAUCCGAUAUCAUCAUCUUCGAUACUAUGUAGCAAGGAGGAUCAUGUUGCUGCAGUAUAUUUUGACAAAGGAACAAGAUGUUGAAAUUAUGACAAAUGCAUUGUAAAAGUGUAAAUUCCAAUUCCAUAGAGACAGGAUUAGGGUGGCAGAUAAUCCCUUUCUUAUUGCGAGGGAGUGUUGAAAUAUGGAAACAAGAAUAUUCCAAUUUAAUUUGUCAUUGAAUUAAAUUAUGAAUUAAAAUCAAAUUUAGUCUUAACAGCUACUUGGAAAUAACAAAUUUAUUUAUUUUAAAUUAAUUAGUUGGAUAAAUUCAAGUUAGAAGUCUUUCUAAAGUCAUGCAAGUGCAGAUCUUGGUGGUAGUAGAAAAUAUUCAAGUGAGAACUUUGAAGACUGAAGUGGGGAAAGGUUCCAUGUGAACAACACUUGGACAUGGGUUAGUCGAUCCUAACAAAUGUGGAAGCCUUAUAUCAAGGGUACACUCUAUACAAGCAUCGAAAGGGAAUUGGGUUAAUAUUUCCGAAUGGGGACAUAGUGGCGGGCAUCAACGUUAGGAAAUCUGAAGACAUUGUCAGGGACCCCGAGAAGAGUUAUCUUUUCUUUUUAACAUUUUUCCCACCAUGGAAUCAAUUCACCCAGAGAUAGGGUCUAGUAGCUAGAACAACACCACAUGUAUUACAAUGACCAGUGUGCCCUGGAUGGCCCUUGAAAAUCUAGAUAAUCGAGUACCAUUCAUACCCGGUCAUACACAUAACCGCAUAAGGUAUCCAGGGUGAAAAACCUUUUUUCAAUAGAAUAAUGUAGGUAAGGGAAGUCGGCAAAAUAGAUAUGUAACUUCAGGAAAAGGAUUGGCUCUGAGGGUUGGGCCUAGGGGUCUGUGCCCUCAACUCAUGGGUUGUUGACAAUCUACCCGAGCUGCUCUCAUGGUGAGGGAAGGAAGUCAAUUUUUGAUUAGGCUACGGGUGUAGAAUGACCCUUACUAGGGGGUUUUACCUAGGUAGUGAACAAUCGACAUAGAACUGGUAUGAACAAGGGGAAUCAGACUGUUCAAUUAAAACAAAGCAUUACGAUGAUCCUCGUGGAUGCUGACGCAAUCUGAUUUCUACCUAGUGCUCUGAAUGUCAAAGUGAAGAAAUUCAACCAAGCAGGGGUAAAUGAUGGGAGUAACAAUGAUUCUCUUAAGGUAGCCAAAUGCCUUGUCAUCUAAUUAGUGAUGCCCAUGAAUGGAUUAAUUAGAUUCCCACUAUCCCUAUCUACUAUCCAGCGAAACCACAACCAACGGAACGAGACUGGAAGAAUCAGUGGGGAAAGAAGACCCUUUUUAGCUUGACUCUAGUUUGACUUUGUGAAAUGACUCGAGAGGUGUAAAAUAAGUGGGAGCCAUUUUCAUCGCAAGUGAAAUACCACUAAUUUUAAAGUUAUUUUACUUAUUCCAUUAGGGGGAGACGAGGCACUACCCAUAUUUGUUUUCCUUAAGGUACAUUUCGGUGGGUUAAUCCAAGUGGAAGACAUUGUCAGGUGGGGAGUUUGGCUAGGGCAGCACAUCUGUUAAAAUAUAACACAUGUUUCCUAUGAUGAGCUCAAUGAGAACAAAAUUCUCGUGUAGAACAAAAGGGUAAAAUCACAUUUGAUUUUUACUUUCCCUACAAAUACAAACCAUGAAAGCGUGGCCUAUCGAUCAUUUAGAUUUUCAUAAUUUGAAGCGAGAGGUUUCAGAAAACUCACCAGAGGGAUAAUUGGCCUGUGGAAGACAAACAUUCAUAGCAAAAUUUCUUUGUUAUCCUUUGAUGUCGGAUCUUCCUAUCAUUGCGAAGUAGAAUUCACCAAGUGUUGGAUUGUUCACCCGCCAAUAGGGAAUGUGAGUUGGGUUUAGAUCGUCAUGAUACAUGUUAGUUUUACCCUACUAAUGAACCACAUCACGAUAGUAAUUCAACUUAGUAUGAGAGGAACCUGAUUCACACAAUUGGUCAUCAUGCUUGGUUGAAAACGCAGUCGCACGAAGCUACCAUCUAUUUGAUUAUGACUAAAUGCCUCUAAGCCAGAAUCCAUGCUAGAAGUGGUGCAUGUCACUCUUUGACUAUAUCUUGAUCCACAAUAGGGGCAUCACAUUAUCACUCGCAGAAGUCCAUUUCAUUUGCAAACAGUGAUCACGAAGCUUCUCGGUCAGGGCAGCUUUGAAGUUUAAUUCCAAACAUGCAUUGAGAAGAAU